rnacentral:snRNA from 1 species
GGAUGUGGAGGGGCUAUCUGGCUGCGACAUCUUGUCACCCCACUGGAUCGCCAGGGUUGAUUCAGCUGAUUUGGCUGGCGUAGGCGGUGUGUCUCCUUCCUCCCUCACCGCUCCAUGUGAGUUCCUCCUGAAGCUGCACGCUCGGUCGAAAGGACGACCUUCCCCGAAUAGAGACGGACCAGUCUUCCGUCAAAGGUAUACGAGUAGCUGUGCUCCCCUGCUAGAACCUCCAAACAAGCUCUCAAGAAACUUACUGAAUAGUCCUGUAUAUACUUUAUCAAAUUUUUUAUUUAUAAAAAGGAAACACUU